rnacentral:SRP_RNA from 1 species
GCCGGGCAUGGUGGCGCGCACCUGUAGUCCCAGCUACUCGGGAGGCUGAGGCAGGAGGAUUGCUUGAGCCCAGGAAUUCUGGGAUGUAGUGCGCUAUGCCGAUCGGGUGUCCACACUAAGUUCGGCAUCAAUAUGGUGACCUCCCGGGAGCGGGGGACCACCAGGUUGCCUAAGGAGGGGUGAACCGGCCCAGGUCGGAAACGGAGCAGGUCAAAACUCCUGUGCUGAUCAGUAGCACUCUGGACUCUGAAAUACUGAAUAAAGAAAGAUUGUGUGACA